rnacentral:lncRNA from 1 species
GCCAUAUACAGCAUGGAACAGGGCUCCACAAGGACAUGAAUACCAGGUGGCAGGGAUCACUGGGCCAUCUCUCUAAAUCACGAAUGAAACAUUUGCAACCUGUGUCUCCCAAACAUGAUAUGUCUCAAUCAUCAAAGGCUGGAGUGCAAUGGCGUGAUCUCGGCUCACUGCAACCUCUGCCUCCCAGGUUCAAGUGAUUCUCCUGCCUCAGCCUUCCGAGUAGCUGGGACUACAGGAUCUACAGUGACUACAAUAACCAAGUGCUACAAAAACGCUGUGACGAGGAAUCUGAACAACAGAGAUUUGAGGGAAACAAAACACUUUCGACGAAGGUCCUGCUGCUUGUCUUCAGCUUGGUACCAAUUAGAGCUUCACUGGAGGUGAAAAGGGCAGACACGGUUGCUGAGUGGCUGGUUGGAGAGUCCCUGAGAGAUUACCCAAGAAACUCAGUUGCGGCACGUGGUGGAGCAGCCUCUCAGGUGAAAAUAAAUUCACACUGCACGUGGAUAUCUGCCUGGGAGUACUUGUCAUUCACUGCAUAGUUCAUCUCUAUGAAGAACCUGCGUAUUUCUUUGUCAAA